GGAGGCGUGGCCGAGCGGUUUAAGGCACCGGUCUUGAAAACCGGCAAGGGUUCGCCCUUCGUGAGUUCGAAUCUCACCGCCUCCGCCA
rnacentral:tRNA from 2 species